GGCAAGGUGGCCGAGUGGUUAUGGCGCUAGUUUCAGGUUGUUUUCAUCGCAACUACUAGUGGAGCAAUCCACGCGAGUUCGAGUCUCGUCCUUGUCA